UGCACCGAGGCAAGUCCUACACAACCAGCUCCUGGUCAAUCCCCCAGGGUGGGAACACAGCAAGGGUAUCCGGUUGUAGCGGUGUGAUGUAGUCAGCUUGCCUUUUU
rfam:Moheibacter sediminis strain CGMCC 1.12708 genome assembly, contig: Ga0171597_110